GAUUUUUAUUGGAGUGAAAUUCAGAUGCAAGUCAAGCUUAACCCCCUAGUAGAAGCUGCUUCAGGAGAGAAAAAAAAAAAUCUGAUUAGACAGGAAUAGAAAGACAGACCACUCCUGUGGGCAUCAAGGAUCCUCAGAAGAAAACUGAGCAGAGGGAUAUCCAAUCUAACCUGGAAGAAGGGCAAAGUAGAAUGUGGAGAUCAGGAACUUCAUCAGUCACUGACAGAUCAGAGGCAUGAUGGAUUGCAGCAUCUUUAUGCAGAGCAAUUGAAACAUUACAGAGAGCAGAUGUAAAAGGUGAGCAAGUCACAAAUCCUACUCCCAACUGCAGCUGGUUAGAACAGAGUAAGCAAGAGGUUUAAAAACUGAGGAAGACAGCCAAUAAAAGGAGAAAUACAUCAAUAAAUUAAAAGUCU
rnacentral:lncRNA from 1 species